CAUCAACAUUCAAAAUUGUUGCCCACUUUCAAAACUUAGAACCCUUGCUUCUUCUUAUUUUCCUCUCAAUCUUCUUUCUUUUCUCUCUCACUCCGUGUUCCUCUUUCUCGCAGUAGGUAAGCAAGUUCACACUCCAAAUUCCAUUUCGAAACUUCACCAGCUUCAACGCUCGAGCAAAAGCCUCAAAGAAGGAGAGAGGCUCGUGGGCCCAACGAGACGGCCCGACGGAACCCUUCGCAAGCCCAUUCGAAUCCGCGCUGGCUACACCCCUUAAGACGAAGUCGCCAUUUACCAACCCAAAGGAGCACUCGUCCAUUCCCUUUCCUUUCCCUAAUUUCUUUUUUUUUUCAUUUCUUUCUCUUUCUCUGACUCUUCUUCAGUUGAAAAAGGAGAUGGGCUCCGCUGGGCCUCCCGGGUAGGAACCAGACGCUGAUUCCAAGCCCAAGACCAAGUCCGUUAAGAGGAACGAGAUAAAGAAGGAAAAGUGCAUUCAGGCCGCGCUUGAAAAGGAAAAGAAUGUGAGUGAAGUUGAAGAUAGUGGAAAGCAGGAAUCUCUAGAGGCAUUGACCUCGCAGGUAAAUCGGCUCGCUUUGCAAGAUUCGCCCCAAGCUCAAGAUAUUGAUAAAAGAAUUCGUGCUCUCAAAAAGAAGAUAAGUGACAUGGUUGCUAUUGCAAAAAUUAUGAAAGCCACUUUGGUUUUGCCUACAUUGGAUCAUGAUUCCUUUUGGACAGAUUCUAGGCAGGUUAUUACGCAGGGGAGGUGCUGCAAUUAUUGAAGAAACACAAAGUGAUCAAAUUUACCUGAAUAUUUUGUGGAUAGUCAACAAUGAAUAUCCAACAAUGCCAUGUGGCGUGUACAUAACCUAAUGCCAAUAGCAAUUCUGUAGGGAGCACACAGGAUUCUCAAAUUAAGGAAAUGGCGAAGAACACUUGACACAGUCAAACAGUGAAUCUAGGCCUGAAAUCUGAAACAGCUUCAAGCGGAGUCUCAGGGGCUUCUUCGAGGUAUGGAUAUUUUUUAGCUAUUGUCAGCUCUAGACCACGGGUUAUAAGCUGGGAAAUUGGGGAAGAGAUUCCAAAGUUCCGUAAUGAUUUGGGAAAUGUAGAGCACAUUUCUAUACCGAGUGAUGCCAAAAAUUUAGUUACAUUAGAUUUUGAGGGUAAACAUCUUCAAGUUUGGAAGUGUGAUUUAAAUUCAGGAAGUCUGUGUAAAGAUCAACAUGAGGCUGCUGAAGGAGUCCUUCUUGAUGAUGAUUUGAAUGAGCCAACAAUGGGAGAGAAACUUGCUAGUCUAAGUGUUCUGGAUGGGAACAAAUCAAGGAGUGAUAUAGAGCAAGAAUCUUCUGUCCCAACAAAGCCUCCAAGUGCAGACUCUGUAUAUGUUUUGCUUAAGCAAGCAUUAAAUGCUGAUGAUCGCACCCUUCUGCUAGAUUGCUUGUUUACACAAAAUGAGAAGGUUGUUGUAACUUUUCAAAGGCCAUGUUGCUGCAGAUCUCUAACUUUGUGCAACAUAAUAAUAAGCUCAUGUAUAUUUAAUUAAAAAUUAUAAUCAACAAAGAGUGUAAUUAGGAACUAGUUUUAUUAUUAUUAUAUGACAUUUACCUACAAAAGACCGUAGGUACAAGUAAAUUGACUUUUACCUACAGUUAGAGAUUAUAGGUAUAAAUUAAUAUCUUUUACCUACACAUUUGAAAUAGUAGGUGUUACCUAUAGUGAUAGUUAAAUUUGACUGUCGGUAAAAAUAUAUCCGUAGGUAAAGCCUAUAGUGACAGACUAUUAGUUGUCACUGUAUAUCCCUCAAAGUUGACGUAAAAAACGUCUGUAGGACAAAGUCCUUUAUACAUCUACCUACGAAUUUGAGACUUCUAGUGAUAGAUUUUGACUGUAGGUAAAAGUCAUUUUCCUUGUAAUGAAUUAAUAUCAUAUUCUUGAAUAUAUACGACAAAUUCUUGCCAGCA